rnacentral:SRP_RNA from 1 species
UGUGCCAGAGAGAUUCCAGCCUGAAGUCUCAACUGAGAAGCCCCGUCCUGCUUGGAUGGUGCAGGUAUGCGGGCCUGUUGGAGAACAGGUCUUCAUACCCUAACUGCGGAAACCGGUCGAGGCCCGGAAGGGAGCAGACUCACUGUGGGCAACUGUCGCUUGCGGGGCCGCGGGGUGGAGGAGAGGCUCCAGUCUCCUGGUAUCUCUAAGACACAGCAACCUUAGGCGUGCUCAUCA